rnacentral:misc_RNA from 1 species
UAUUGAUAACUAAAGUUUCACUUCGCACUUCAUAUGAAAAAGAAAAUGUUAAUAUAAAGGGAUGGACAAACAAACAAAUUAGUCAUUAUAUCAGCAGAGAGAGAUUAUUUAAUUAAACAGAUUAUAAUUUCUUAUCCAUACGAAUAUUGUAAAUUUGACAUAAACUUUGUCUGUUACGCUUUCACGCUUCAACUACUUAAACUAUUUUGAUUAAAUUUUGGUUCUGAGAUAGAGUCGACCUUGGGGAAUGACGUAUUCUUCCUUUACUGCGAAAAAGAGGCUUAUAGGAAAGGCGUCAAUACAUGACUUCAUCAUUAUAAAGCCAGUCAAAUAUUCUGCGGGAAAGUAUUUACUCUAGGGCCAAAAGGGCCACGGGUACCAAUUUCCCGGGAUGUGAUAUGAAAAUCAUACGAAAAAGGCGUCCGAAAAUAUAAGUCAGCCGAAAAAUCCCUAAAUAAAUCGACAAUUAUUCGACAAAAACUCACGUCCCUAUACGCUGCUUUUGCUUUUAUUGGCCUGGGGCCCUGAACCCUAAAAUACGGAACUGCGUGAAGAAAAAUUAUACUCUGCUAUCAAUAUAUGCAUCAGAGCGCCAUCUAUCGCACACAAAAUAAACUUUAAUAUUAAUUAUCACAUUUUAAAAUAAUAAUAUAAAUAAUUUUAAAGAUAACUUCAUAGUAACACAACUGCCAUAUAAUUGUUUAAUAAAUAAAUUUAAUUUUAAUAUUUAAUAAUAAUAGACAUUAAUUAUUUAUAUAAUACUUAAAUCUGGAAUUUUCAAAUAUUUAAUAAAGUUCAACCUCCUGAUAAAUCCUAUCAUCGACUUAUGUGCUAGAUAAACUAUGAGGUAUCAGUGCAACAGACCCAUAAACAUGAGUACUAAGUCUGACAUCAAGAAAAAUGUCAAAUCUCUCUGAAUUAAUACUCAAAUGAAGUAUAAUACUCAAGUCACUAAGUGAAGGUACUUAGUUUUCCAAUUAAAGAAGGCAUAUCUUUAGUCAACACUCAAACUUUUCUGCCGAGUUAUAAUAUUUAAUUUCUUGCAAUGUAUGUUUGUUGGGUAGGAAUUUUGCAAAUCAAUUUUGUAGCAUAUAUCUUCAACCGAAUGAGCCGAAAUUUUGUGUACACGCUUAUUUUUGAUAACAAUGCAUGGCUAUAAACUGUUUGAAUACUAAUUUGGUAAUAUAUUGCAUGAAAUACAGCGUCACUGAGUCAACAAAUCUUUAUCAGCUAUGUUAUCCUGCACCGAAUAAUACGCUUUAUCUAUUAAUUUCAAAAUUGUGAUUUUAUUAUACAUGCGAAUACCAUAACCCAG